AGCUGAAUAUGUACAAGAGGUGGCACAGCCCUGUGUUUGUGACUGGACCAGUAUCACACUCUUUGCCUGCUACAGCACUAGCCCCAUACCAGCUCUUCCAGCUCCAGCUGCCAUACAUUAAACAUAUGUCAGGGAUCUCACUGGACCCACAAUCCUCUCAAAGCCCCACUGCCAGCAAAUCAAAAGCACCGUUCUACCAGGUACUUCAGAGUGGAAAGGAAGGACAGCGAUGUUAAGCCUGUGGGAAUUGAAUGCAAGUAAAAUUCCCUCUCAGAGAACUGCACUGCCACAUUUUCAGACCACGGAAUGCCAACAAGGCUGAAAUGGCAAAUGAGCAUGAACAAAGUUUAGCAACAGAAGACUUGCACAACAUUGGGACAAAAAGUGGACAAAUACUAAUUUUAGAGGACAACUACGGGGAAAUAUAUAGUUGCAAUAGCACUCACCUGCAAAACGUGCAAAAAAGCUCAUAAGACAAGAAAAUUAAUUACAAGGAGAACAGAGAGAAGAACACGUUUGUUGAAUAGAGAAAGAAUCUAGAAACCUUAACACAUCAAGAUUGAGGCUUAAUUAGUACAGCAGAAAGUAAUUAAAAGACUAAAUGGACACUUCCUCUAGACUGGGCUCUAGCCUGUAUGGGUGAACAGAGUGCGUAAGUGCAACACAGAGUGUUGAAGUCUCAGAGAAAGUCUGCAGGAAAAGGGAAGUUAAGAACAGUUAUCUCCUUCCAAGAAACUAUAAUAAAAUCAUAGACACAAACUAUCCCAGUAGAGAGGAAUAAAGGAGAGUAGUAGGGUUUUAACAUCACUAAAUUACGAGUUCUUUACUGCUAUCAAGACAGGGAAUAAAAAGCCCAAAGAAAAUAGCAAGGUAUCAGAAUAUAUGAUGAGGAGUACAAGAAUAGUACAAACAUGAAGGGGCAAAAUCAUUAUGCUCAAAGCACAAAACUAACUAGGGAUAUCAAGAAUAAUAAGAUACCAUUCUAUUAGUACAUUAGUUAGAUGAAGAAAAAUGUGGAUCUGUAAAUCAAUGGAGAGGAAGAUCAACUGACAGAUGACGCGAGUUGGCUGAAGUGCUUAACAUCCUUUUUAUGUCACCUUUCAUUCAAAAUUUCCCGUGAAGAGACAUGGAUAAUUCACAUAAUACUCAUGAAGAGGGAUAUGGUCACAGUCUUACUCCAAAACAGCAAAACAGAUUAGAGAGUACUUAGCAAAAUUAGAUGUUUUUCAAGCCAUUUGGUCCUGAUGAAUUUAAUCCCAGUAUAUCUAAAGAACUGUUUGAAACUGUCUUUGAGACUUUGUGGAAGACAGGUAAAGUCUGGACAAAUGAAUAUAGUGUCUACCAUGAAAAGCAAGAAAAAAGGAAAGAACAAACAAGGGAAUUCUUGACCAGUCAUCUUGAGCUUAAUUUUCAGAAAAUUCUUGAACAAUGAAUCAGAACAGCUUGUGAGCACUUAACUAUAAAAGAUGAGUAGCAAUCAACAUUGAUUUGAAAACAAAUCAUGUCAACAACAACCUAAUUUCCUUCUACAACAGGAUAAGAAGCCUUGUGGAAAACAGCAAGUGUCAUGUAUCUUGACUUUAUUUUGGCCUUUUGACAGUUUUUUGUAAUAUUCUUACAUGCAAACUCAGAGGAAAGCAAACAGUCUUAUCUUAGUAUCAUACAGAUAAAAAGCCACUUGGUUACAGAAGUCCAACCAUUAUUAAAAUAUAUAAAUAUUUAAUAUAAUAAAAAAUAAAUAUAAUAUAUAAAAUAUAAAGACUACAACAACUGGGUUGUUGCCUUGGAGUUUUGUUUUUAUUAUUUGACUUUUUCAUUAAUAACAUAGAUGAUGGGAAAAAAAUACUGUUUACCGAACUUGCAGACAACUUGAAUCUGGAAAGGCACCAAAUGACUGAAUAAAAUUCAAAAUGUCCUUGGCAAAUACAAGUAAUGGUCUGGAGACAGUAG
ensembl:lncRNA